rnacentral:lncRNA from 1 species
CAAGAGAUGACUCAUACAGAGAAAAUGUGUACAGGACACAGAAUUUGUGAAUAAUCGGAGUAUGAGGAGAAAUAGAAGAGUCAGCAGAAUGAACGUGUGGUUAUCUGGUCAGGGCUCUGAAGAUGUCUUACGAAGAAAACCUUCUAAUCUCACAGGAGGCCCGGUAUCAGCAGAUUCACUCGUGUCACAGUAUGAACAACUUUAAAAGAUACUUAGAAGAUGUCAAGAAGAAAGCAGAAAUGAGAAAUUUGCUGCAGUUUCUCAUUCGCCGAGGCUCUGCAUUUCUGUUCUCUCCCAUUAUGGAUUUAUUUCUCUUUGUAUUUGAAAAACAGAAGACACUAUUGGCAAUAAAUGGUAGUACUAUGUCUUGCAAAACAGCUGAACUGCACCAAACCCGUGACAACUCCUAGACCUCCAGCUUUCCAUCUGGUGAGAUUCACUCUGAGCUGGGAGCUCCCGCUGACUUGACUGCAAAAGAAAGAAGCAUCACCAAUGGAGAUUAAUCCUCCCAUCAGCCUUGAGAGAAAGGGCUGCAGGCCCGUGUGGAUUUGCUCAGCACGCCACUGACUUUAUUAAACAACCUACCAGACAAAGGGAAACAAAGUCUCUCCCUCUUUCCAAAGAGCACCGUGCCAAAAAUGUGUAUUAGAUGGUCAAAGGCCAUAGGGUCAGGUCCAAAUGCAGCUUUUCUAGAUACAAUGAAGCACUUUCCCAUGUUGCAGCUCAAUCAAACAUAGUUUUUGUAAGCCAGGGAAAUUCAGAGGGAGGCUUGCGGUAAUUUAGCAAUCGUUUUUCUUAUUUCCUGUAGUUGAUUUAGGAGGAGGUCACUUGUUUGCUUAACGAACAUUGAAUUCCGUGCCAGAGAGGGAGCGAGGGCCUGGGAGCAGAGAGGUAGGAAUGUGGCGCACAGUCUCUGCCCCAGGAAGUGCACGGGGUGGAGAGAUGGGGUGUGGAGGCGACAAUCAAGUAAAUCCACAGUUCCAGCACGUCAGCAGGAGCCUGGGUCUCGAAUCGCAUGCAGCGGGCUUGGAGUAGAUAAGAUGUGCCUAGUCAGCCUAGGGAGGAAUCAACCAGACUUCACAGAGGAGGUCAGCCUUUGAGGAGUCAUUCACUUAUUUGCAAUUUAUGGAUCCAUUUAAUAAAUAUUAUGGAAUGUUAAUUUCAUUUUAUGCUAGGUGUCAUGGGCUGAGUGCUGGCCACCCCACAUCACCAGAAUCUGUUUCGAAACAUCUUGGCCCUCCCUCAGGGAGCUAGGGUCUAGCGCAGGUGGCACACUGGGGGUGAUGAGCGCCCAGGCCCUAGGGCAGGGAAGGGGCAAGCAAACUGUGUCCGUGGCAAUGAAGGACCAUUUUUGGAACACCUGUCUGUCCCAAUAUGUUUUACUGAGGUCAAUGCAACAAACUCAUUUUUAAAAAAUAAUGUUGAUAUU